GGAUGCUUGCUAAUUACGAAGCUAGUCAUUUUCAGAAAUGUAUUUCUGAAUUUGUUUUGAAUCUGGAAGCUUGGAUGACGUUAAAGGAAACAGUGGUUUAGUCAACUUUAUUUCAGUUUGCAAACAUUCCAAUAACAUUCAGUUUUUUAGGAUACAUAAAAUAAAGCUUACAUACUAAAUAUAUUUUGGUUCGUAGCAUUUGAUGUGCAGCUUUUCCUUCCCUGACAUAAUGUACCUACAAUUAAAUCAGCCAGAAAUACAUCUAUAUAUUUGGCUGGUAUGUAUCUCAUAGCAACCCUUUCCCCACCAUACAUUGUUCUGCACAUUAAUUUUUUUGGCUUUGAUCCCUGGCACUUUCCUAUAAAUUAUAUUAUGUGCUUUAGAACAAAGAGCCUAUAAGCUUUCACCACUGAAUCGAUAAUGCAUUGAAGUACAUUAAAUGAUCAUUCACUCAUAAAACAAAUGUACCUUGUGAAGUGGAAAGCCUGGAAGUUUAAGAAUAAAAAUAUCUUGCUGAAAUUUUAAUACAUGUAUUGUGGAGACUUUAUAAUUGGAAUCUGGAAAUCAUUUUUUGUUUCUCUGAAACUAGAGGGUGUGUGAGGGAGGAAGAGAGUGUCAUUGACAUUACUGAUAGUCUAAUCAUUUCAUUGUGACAAGUGUUAGGCUUUUUAAGACUUAUCAAGUGCUUCAUGAAAACUCUGUACGAACAACACUCAUUUGAAGGUGUGUGUUUGUUAUGAUGGCAGCAUCAUGAAAUGUAGCUUCUGUCAUGAAAUAAAGUAUCUCAGCUGUAAAACUGUUAGAGUAGUGUCUCCAGUAAUGGUUUCAUUGUUCUGUCAUUUAGCUGGUUAUUAAAAGGAAAUCAAGGGAAGGUCUAACCAACUUUCAAAUCCUUUAAUAACCCUCCUGCAAACAGAUGCAGUGACUAAAACUGAUGGAAUUUUUAUGUACUGUAUAAGGAAUAACAGAAUGCUGUGAUUGUUUAAACUAAAGCACUUCCCCCCUUCUGCUAAUAAUAUGCUUGCUCAGUUCAUACAAAAAUUAUUUGGGCUUCAGCAUAGCCACCUGGACCUGUGCUGCAAUCUGUAGAUAUACUGUUCAGGCAAGUAUUCUACCCAGUUGCUUGGCAAGAAGUAACUAAGUAAAUCUGUUCCUUGCUUCCAGUGUCUGGUCAAUGAGUGCAAAAUGUACUUGGAUGGAUGGCCUUAUAUUGCAUUUUAAUUGGCUAAACAUUUAUUUGAUAACUUUUUAAACAGAAUACUUGAUUUUAGGAUUUAGCAUUAGUACCCCCAUGAUUGUAUUUCCAGCUUCCUCUUCAUAACAUAGGUAGUGGCCCUAUCUUUUCCUACCUUAUGGAUUUGAAGUUGGAUUUAAUUUGAAUCUAUACAAACCAUUUUCAUUUUCAAGGGCUGGCAUAGCUUUAAAUGAAAACUUUUAGCAGGAUUAAAACAAAGCAACGUAGGCCAAUAAUUCAGUGUCGUGUCAUGAAGGUUCAUUUCUGUAAUGUAUGUUAAUAACAGUAAGCUACCUUUGUGUUCGGAGUUCUGACAUUCUGAAUACUACAGCAUUUUUUUCUUAUUGAAAUGUGAAUACUUUAGUAACAAUGCUUAAAACAAAACCUUAGGGAAAUGAUUCCUGAAAACUACCUUCCACUCUUAAAAAAAUAACAUGGUAUAAAGCAUAGUGUAAAAAAGAUCCUUCACCACUAUCAUUAAAGGAAGCAUGUACUAGUGCUACAAAUCUUUCAUUUUGAUUGUGAUGUGCAGUUUAAUUUUCUGAAGAUGGAUUCUGGUUUCCCAGACCUAAAGAUCAAAUAUGAUAUAGGCCUCAUGGAACUAAAAUAUAGCUUCCUCACAGUGAUAGUUGGGAUUUAAUGGUACUAUAAAUGAAAUAAUUGCUUUCUAUCAUGUACAGUUCUGUUAUUUUAAAGCCUUUAAUAUUAGCUUAUGAAUAAUUUAGCACAAUGAGCUCUAUUCACUUACAUGGUGAACUUAAUGUUUGUCAGGAAAGGGAUUUGUCAGCUGGAAGAAUGUAUGAUUGUGUGGUUCUUUGUAAAGCUUUUUAUUUCUAGAGAUACACUAAUCUCUUCUAGAAACUUAAAGGAAGUUUCUUCCUGUGCUGGUCUGAGUUUCAGUUGUUUUUUGCGGAAUAGUACCUGAAAUGUCUCAGAUACAUAAUGGUUGUUUUGGACCAUAGAUUUUUACUGCAACUGUGGAGUGGUACCUUUAUUAAAUAAGAAAGGGGUGUGUGUGUGAGAGAAAACCACCACAAAUUGAAAUGCUUGGAAAUGUUUGUGAUGUUUGAUCUAUUUUUGAAUGGGUUUCUGCAUGUUUAGUGAUCACAUGCCCCAAUGUGGUUUCAGACUGUACGUAGUUAAAUCUUCUACAAUACUUGCACUGUUGGUAGAAGAGCAUCCACACCAUAUAUUCUAUCACCAACGAUCUUUAAGAAAUUCCUGGGACUGCAAGAGGCGAAUGCCUACCUGCCCUAAAAAUAAAAAAAGCCUUUCACAUGCUGUUAUAAAAAUCUUGACAGAAAAAGUUUUCAUUCCCUGUUCCUUGGGCCAUCAAAGGAGGAGGCAAGAUAGGCGUACUUGGCCAAUUUUAGGCUGCAGCGUUGCUGGACAUUGAUGACUAUUCGUUGGAUAUGCAUGGCAUGUGGAACAGUUCCUUCUGGCAACUCAGAAUUGUGGCAAAAUGAGGCCUUUUGAUAGAUUUAGGUCUUGGAGCUAUUGCGACAUAGGGUGAAGGUGAAAAGAGAUCAAAAUAAAUAAGCAUGUGAUCUCCAAUGCCCCCAAUAAUCCCAAAUACAACAAUGAAUCUAUACAUUCGGUUAUGACAGAAUGCUGAAUUUCAGACUAUGCAAAUCCUUUCUGAAAACAAGGUGGUCUUGCAUUUAAAUGGCUAAGCAAGUGUUGCAUUUUAUGGAUUAUUGUUUUAGAUUGGAAAACUGAAGGAGUAACUCUUUAUCCCAGUGCAGUGGUAGAUUUUAACAUGCAUUAAAAUCUCAUGUUAAAAAUGGAAUUUAUCACAUUUUGGGUUUUGUUAAACAAAUUUUAUCAUUUGACAAGAAUAGAAUAUGAACUGUGUGUGCUGUGCAUGCUGCAGAUUAAGAAUAAUGCCAAAUGGCCAAGCACUGUCCCUUUCAGUGCGAUUGGGAGCUUUAUCCACAGGAGAUUUAGUUGUUUAAAAUCUGCAUUUUCUAAUGAAAUAAAAAUAGCUACAGGGAUUAAGUACUGUGAUUUCAGUUGUAUUUGCAGAAGCACGUAAUAUUUCUGCUUAUUUAAGCUGUUCUCUCUAGCAUUUACAGUGCUCACAAAUUCAUCUUUCUUAUUAAACAAGGGAUCAUGUUGCACUUGAAAAGUACUACUCUUUUGCUCUUUGUGAUUAGCUGCCAUGUAUAUAAGGGGUGCUUGCUUGUUUGUUCAUUUGUCCUGAUCCUGGAAACUAUCAUUACCUCCCCCUUCCCCAAAGCAAAAUAAUAAUAAUAAUUACCUUGGGCUGUUGGAAGAGUGAGACCGUGGGAGCAGGUAAUCCAGAACCAGGUAGAGCAUCUCUUUUCUUAUUACUGGAAGUGCAAGUCCCAGUUUCCCUAACAGAAAAAUUCCUGCAGCUGCUUCACUCUGAGAAUUUUGGAAUUUACAGUCUUGUCAGGAAAAAGGUGUUCCCUUGGGUUUUGGCAGUAACUCACAUUAUCUGCCUAUUCCAGCCUUCAAAAAUGCAGCAUUUUUUUCUGGGGGUGGUCAAGGGUAUGCAGUAGUGGUACCUUUUAAAAAAUGUUAAAAGCAAAAACGUUACUGUAACAACUUCACGGUGAGUACCUGCACCAUUUUCCUUUGGAGGAAAAAACCACCACUGCAAAAAUGUGAUCCCCAUUGCAUUCUGAAGUGCUGCAGUUCAGUACGCCCACAUAGCUCAGUAGGUAGAGCAUGAGACUCUUAAUCUCAAGAUCAUAGGUUCAAGCCCCAGGUUGGGCAAAAAGAUUCCUGCAUUGCAGGGGAUUGAACUAGAUGACCCUUGUUGGACUAGGCUUGUGGACCCUUACAAUUCUACUAUUCUACCUUGGUGUGCCUCCUCCUUAUUCUGCCGCAUGUGUAGACUAGACCAGAGUAUAUUUCCAGCUGUUAGCAUAAGGUAAAUGUAUUUUUCUGAUUCACUGUAAACCACCAUGGACUCAUAUUUUAAUAUGAUUCAGUAGCACCUGCAAAAUCCUUUUUAACUUUUUAAAGCAACUUUUAACAAUAUUUUUUGUAUGCCUUAACCCUGCACAGUAUUGCUAGGUCAUUCUUCUCACUUGUCAGUAAUAGAUGGAACUGAUAGAGGAGAAAAUUCAUAAAAGAAGCAAAAUGGUCUGUACCUAUUUCUGAUCCCUUUUGUGAAAACAAGACUGUGGCUGUUUGUUAGUGUUCUUAUUCUCUUUUCUCCUAAAAUGCCUUUGUGGAUGAGGUUCAUUUGAAUUCACUUUACUAAAGCUUCACAAGAAUGAAUAUUCACAUGGCUGGCCUAGAUUGCACCCAAAUGUUACUGCAUUAUGUGCAAACUUGUUUGUAUUUCUGGUGCAGUGUAGGGUAGUAGUGGUAAUCUUCCAAUAUGAGCAUGAAAACCCUCCAGAUGAUUUGGAGUGUUUAGAAGUUGUCCUGAGCACAUCCAGCUCAAGGAGGACAAAUGGCCCAUCAUUUAAUUCUUUAUUGACAUAGCAUGAACUUACUGUUGCUCCUAAGGUGCACUAAACAUGCGCACACAUUGCUUCUGGUGGGUAGGUAGCUGGUGGCCCUCCACGGGCUUGCGCUUCGAGCUGAGCUGUUGGAGCAACAGGCUGGCCAGCGUUCCCCCCACAAACUUUAGUAUCCUCAUCUGAUGGCGUGAGCACAGGCAAUCUGCAAUUCCUUCUACAUGGAAGUUGUCAAGCCACUCUUACUCUUCAAGCCCCUCUUGGUCCUGGGAGAUUGCAGGGGCAGAGGAGAUGCUGCCACCCACUCCCUUCAGGCACUGUCUCUCCCAUUCCUGGUGCAUCCUGUCCAUCCUCCAACUCUGGCUCUUACCUUGUGUCUUGCACCUCCUUCCCCAUCUACAACUGCUCAUACCCCUCCCCAUCCUCCACCCCUGACUCCUACCUCAUGGGAGGGGAGAAACUUCAUAAAUUUCUACCCCCUUUGCUUGGAUCAGCCUCUGGCCCCGCUGUCUCAUCCACACUCUCCUCAGAGCCCUGCCAGUCCCUGACAGAGGUGCGUUACGACUCUUUAUUGUGCUGUUUUUAGAGUCUGACAUUAGCACUGGCAAUAUUUUUAGCGUAAUUCUAGAGUUUGAGCAGUAUGUACUCUUCAAAGAGAACAGAAAGAUAGAUUUCUAUUAGUUUAGGAUUGCAUAAUUUGACCCAUAAGGCAUGUGAAAAUUUGAAGGUGAAAAUUUGUGCAGGAAUUCAGAUCACAGAGCUUUAAUGCAGUUUGUUGUUUGGCCCUUAAACAUAACCAGUAAUGAACUAGAAUGAAGACAUGAAGGUAAUGAUUGCUUAAAUCAGGAUGUUUGAAAAGUUUUGUCUCCAAUAAUUUUAAGCUAUACUUUUGAGACAGCAGAUGAACUUGGCAAUUUUAAUCCUAAACUUUUAUUUUAAAUUACGAUUCAUUCAGUAUAACUGACCCCAGAGGAUAUAUUUUUUUAUAGGCCUAAAAAAUGUCAAUCUGAAGACUGUGGUAGCUUUCUAUUUUGUUUCCCAGACGUGGUGCAUCUACAAGAAAGUGCAGUUACAUAGUGUGCUGGGCUUGAUGCUGAGGAAUUCAGACUACCAGGCUAUUGUUGGAGUGCAGGUUAGAAUGAAAUGCAGGUGGUCUGAAAAACACUAGAGCUGCACAUUGAGUAGUAAAUCAAUUAUCAGAAUUAAAAUUAGAAUGGUUGUGGGGAAAGAGGAGGAGUUGAUGUGUAUUAACACAACUCCAUGGAAAUCUGGGAAAUCAAAUCAAACAGGCUGUGGGAAGCUCACUCUGUAGAGCAUGAGACUAUUUCAGGGCUGUGGGUUUGAGCCCCACAUUGGGCAGAAAGAUGGGGUUGAUCUAGAUGACCCCCAUGGUCCCUUCCAUCUCUACAGUUCUAUGAUCUAAUAUUAUAGAACUAAAAUGUGGGACAAUGUCAGGUGCUGGAAGGCCAAAGAUUUAGAACUAGUGUUCUAACUUUUUAUUUAGCAUUGUGCAAUGAAGACUUCAGGGGCUCUUGAGAAUUCUUUCCAGACACCUGGAUAAAGCAUUCUGAUUUGGUAGAAAGAAUGGUCAUGGGUAAUUUGAAGUAAAACAGAAGGAUUAUUUGAUAAGAGGACUCCUAGAAGAGCAACAAUUGAAGUGUUGGUUUCCUGAAAACAAACUGUGUAUACAAAGAGUCCUGCGCCCCAGCCCUGAUUUAACACAUUGCAAAGUGGUAAUUCUUGGAGCAGUUAUAUUGGCUUGACUACAACUCUUCUGUAAGAACUAUCUCUGUAUUUUGUUCCAUUUUUCCUGAGGUUGGUGUUCAGAACAGUAUGUCUAGGUAUACUUG